CCGGAACAUAACGCGAUCAAUCACAAAACAACAGGCAAAGCAGCAGUAGAGGGAACGCGUUAAAUCUCAUUUGGAACUCUGAAAAUAGUUUACAAACUUCACCAACAUGGGGAAAGUCAAGGUGCACGUUCUCUACUGCGGUGGAUGAGGGUACGGUUCCAGGUACCGCCGCCUAAAGUCUGAGAUCAUUGACGAGCUUGGUGAGGAUGACUUGGACUUUGCAGGGGAGUCAACGCCUGGUGUCUCCGGUUACUUUGAGGUCUCCGUCAACGGCAAGGUGUUCCAUUCCAAGAAGAAUGGUGAUGGCUACGUUGACUCUAACCAAAAAACGAAGAAGAUUAUGGAUGGAAUCCGGGAAGCCCUCAAGGCUUAAGUGAGGAUUUGAAAAACAAGUUAAGCAAAGCCAAACGGACUUGACACAAGCGCGAGCUAACAAACCUUAAUAUGACAGAGCAAGCUGAAAAGUGGCACAAACCACAAGGUUUUCUCUCGAUGCUUUACAAGGAACAGUCAGCUGCGAUGUGUCGACUGGAGUUUGGCUUUGCCUCAAAGGUAGUCUCUUAGAUGUUUUGUUUGUACUUGCGGGUAGUAAACACUUCCUGUGUGUGAGUAGAUGUUUUUAAAAAUUUCAUUAUCUAGCCUCAUUUUCAAGGGGCCACCCGGAACCAUAGCCGUAAUUGGUGCAACUGUUUUACUAGUACUCCUCGGCCAGUAAAUUUGUUGAGCAACUACGUAUACUUUCCAGCAACAGACAUUUAUAUAUUUGCCCUGCACACACUUUGUCCUUGCAGAAUGAGAGCACCAACCCCCAAAAUCAUGAUAGAUUUUGGAUUGUUCAUCCCAGCAAAUUACUAUUUUCUACCAUACGGGUUCUUGAUAGUUGAUGACGGAGUAAAAAGCUACGAUAAAACGUCAUGUCUAUAAUACUUUUUAUUUCUAACAUAGAAUCAGUUAUUUCAGCAUUAUUUUUCAUUCUAAUUUAUUUUACAAAUUUCUUCCCAUUAAAAUUCACACUCGCCUUCUGUUUUUAAAAUUUAAAUAUGCACAGCCUGUGUACUACGCAGUUGGUUAUUUUUCGAAGGUUGGUGGCAUUCAGUAAAACACAAAAAGUGAAAUUGAGAUGUAGUAUAUAAUUUUGUCUUUGGUUAUAACACUGUCUGACAUUCUAUUAUUUACUAUAAUAACUUAUUUUGCUCACAUGAACACGGAUUGUGCUUGGAAUAUUUGCAUAUCGUUGUACAGCAAAACUUACGUAAUAUUAUGUAGUCAAUCAUGUCUAUUUCGAUUUCACAAAAGGGUGUUGGACUUUCCACAUGUAGAUUGUAAACUAACUUUUUUCACAAAGUCAUCUGAAGAAUAUGAAACUUGCAAUAAAAGUGUACUUAUACGUUUGUGAAAACUA